UAUAUGGGAUAAUAAAAAGAGUAGCUAACACGUAAUGAAUGCAUUCAGUGCAGCUGGUGAAGUACAUAAGUCCUUUAUGCACCUUGUCUUAUGUAAUUCUCAGCAGUCUAGUCAUGGAGGUACUGUUUUUGUGCCUUUUUUUGCAGGGGCCUUUAAAGAAGUGACUUGUCCAUAGUCUCACCCUACUAAGGGCAGACUUAGAAGCUGAGCUCAUGAUGUGAGAUUCUGAAGCCUUCUGGCCCAACUCACCAUUUGCUGAAGGUUGGUGCAUCCUGUUGAAAUCCCAGAGGUCUGCAGUCUUCCCAUGGACCAAGGAGAUGUGCAAUGUUUAAAGAGGCUUGAAGAGGGCAUGGAGGAGAAGAGGCCGGGGGCAGUUUUUGUGCGUAUGUGCAUGCUGCUUGUGGCCUGUAGCCUUCAUCAGCUGCACUCUGGGAAAGGGGAGGCCUCUUUCUGCCUCCUGGCAUCUCUGGAUUCCAUGUUCCGGUCAGCACAAAGGUGCUAAAUAACCUGUGGAGGCUGAAGGUCUGGGGCUUCUAAGGCUGAAGAGAAGGCUGGGCCAGUCAGGUCAAGUGGGAACCGCCAGUACAAGUCUCUGAGGGCUUCAUGCUUGGGGGAAGCUGGGGAUGAAGAUGGUUGUUUGUAGGGUCGGCGGGGAGGUGGCAGUGAGGGUGAAGUUUUUUAUCUUCUUUAGUCACUGGGCCCAUCUUGAUUGCUCUCCUGCUUCUCAUGGGGAAGAAUGGGCCCAGUGACCUUGUUCACCUGAAAGUGUGUGGAAUGAACGCCUCCUUCUAGUGGGA